UGAACAGAUUAUUGUAUACGACUGUAUUCACGGCGUGAAACAGGGGAUUACACUAUUUUUAAACGGAAAGUGAAUCAAUUAACAUAAUAGACUCCU
rnacentral:pre_miRNA from 1 species